UUUUGGUCAGGUAUACUUAUUGUGUAUCUUAUUUAUAUUUUAAUAUAUUUAACAUCUACUGGUCAUCCUGCCAUCUAGGGAGGGGUGGGGGUAAGAGGUGAAAAUUGGAACAAGAGGUAUGGCAAUUGUUAAUGCUGUAAAGUUACCAUGUAUAUAUCCUGUAAAUAAAAGGCUAUUAAAUUUAAAAAAAAAAAAAAAAAAAAAAAGAAUCAGGGAGCUGGAAAGUGAAAGGCUUUUCUAAUUUAGGUAGAGCUGGUCUUAAAAGCUUUGGCCUAAAUAGGGCCUUGAAUGGGGAUUAGGUUAUGGCUCAAAUAUUUGACAGAUUGGAAAGCAAUGUGGGCUUUGAAUAAGAAGACCCUGUAGUCCCUAGAGGCCAGAAAAUUAAGAGUUUUUAUGGCUGCAUUUAAGGAAGCCUCUUGGAUAGGGCUGCAGAUCAAAAUUUCCUCCACAUACUGCAUGAUACUGCUGUUAAGCAGUUCCAAAUCCCUUAUAUUUUUAGCCAGUACCUGUCUGAAUAUGUGUAGACUAUCUCAAAAGCCCUGGGGCAAAACUGCCCAAGUUAAUUAGUGGGGUAUGUUCCCCUGGCUUUGCCCAUUCAAAAGCAAAAAGAAAUUGUGAGUUUUUUUGCAAAGGUAUACAAAAAGAAGGCAUGGAGUGAAAAAUCACUUUGUGUCCCCUAGGUAAGGAUAGUAUAGGAAUUGGGCACAAUGAGGUGAAUAGGAAGGACUGCCUCAUUAAUUGCUCUGAGAUUCUGUGUCAUACCAAACUGCCCAUUUGGUUUUCCAACAGGGAGAAGUGGAGUAUUGCAGGGAGACUUGAAGGCAACUAAAAGUUUGUGCUUAAAAAAUUUCUCAGUCAGGGGUUGCAAUCCCUCCCUAGACUCUGGCUUUAAUUGGGUAUUGGUGUUUAUGGGGGAAUAUACUGGGGUGUAACUUCUAGGUUGCUAUUGAGGGUUACCACAGAAUAACCUGCCUUUCCCCAUUUUCAAGAAAACUAGACCCAUCUGUAAAUCAUUCACCAUCUGGGUUGUCAAGAGGAAUGUCCCUCAAGUCAGGUCUACUGGAAGAGUCAGAAUCUAAAGCUUCCUCUAUGGUCAAAAAGUUAUCAAACUGUGCAUACCCUUUGAUCCAGCAGUGUUACUACUGGGAUUAUAUCCCAAAGAGAUUAUAAAGAAGGGAAAGGGACCUGUAUGUGCACGAAUGUUUGUGGCAGCCCUUUUUGUAGUGGCUAGAAACUGGAAACUGAAUGGAUGUCCAUCAGUUGGAGAAUGGCUGAAUAAAUUGUGGUAUAUGAAAAUUAUGGAAUAUUACUGUUCUGUAAGAAAUGACCAACAGGAUGAUUUCAGAAAGGCCUGAGAGACUUACACGAACUGAUGCUGAGUGAAAUGAGCAGGACCAGGAGAUCAUUAUAUACUUCAACAACAAUACUAGAUGAUGACCAGUUCUGAUGGAUCAGGCCAUCCUCAGCAACGAGAUCAACCAAAUCAUUUCUAAUGGAGCAGUAAUGAACUGAACUAGCUAUACCCAG
rnacentral:lncRNA from 1 species